GACGAACCGUGCGAACGUUAUUCGGAAUCAUUGGGCCUAAAGGGCGCGUAGGCGGCGGUGUAAGUUGAAAGUGAAAUCCCAUCGGCUCAACCGUGGAAUUGCUCCCAGUACUGCAUCGCUCGAGGGGGAUAGGGGUCUGCGGAACUACCGGUGGAGCGGUGAAAUGUGUUGAUAUCGGUGGGAACGCCAGUGGCGAAAGCGGCAGACUAGACCCUUCCUGACGCUGAUGCGCGAAAGCUAGGGGAGCAAACGGG
rnacentral:rRNA from 1 species